rnacentral:rRNA from 2 species
GGUGAGUAAUGCCUGGGAAUAUGCCUUGAUGUGGGGGAUAACUAUUGGAAACGAUAGCUAAUACCGCAUAAUGCCUACGGGCCAAAGAGGGGGAUCUUCGGACCUCUCGCGUCAAGAUUAGCCCAGGUGGGAUUAGCUAGUUGGUGGGGUAAUGGCUCACCAAGGCGACGAUCCCUAGCUGGUUUGAGAGGAUGAUCAGCCACACUGGAACUGAGACACGGUCCAGACUCCUACGGGAGGCAGCAGUGGGGAAUAUUGCACAAUGGGGGAAACCCUGAUGCAGCCAUGCCGCGUGUAUGAAGAAGGCCUUCGGGUUGUAAAGUACUUUCAGUUGUGAGGAAGGCGGUAACGUUAAUAGCGUUGCCGUUUGACGUUAGCAACAGAAGAAGCACCGGCUAACUCCGUGCCAGCAGCCGCGGUAAUAC